ensembl:lncRNA
GGAACAUCAGAACGCCUCGCCUUCCCAGCGGCAGCACGUGUUUGUGCGUGUGCGUGCAUUUGCCCAUGUGUGUGUGUGUGUGUGUGUGUGUGUGUGUGUGUGUGUGUGUGUGUGUGUGUGUGUGUGUGUGUGUGUGUGUGUGUGUCUGUCUGUCAGCGAGGAGGAGGAGACAGAGCCUGUGUGUCAUUAUGUGGAGGAGAGAGGAGGGAUGCAUUAGUGCCGGCAGAAUUUAAUAGAGGGUUCUCAGAGGCUCUCCGCCCGUCAAAGAAGGACCACUCUGCUCCCCUUGAAGCUCUGGCUCAGGCUGCAUGUAUGGACGUGUGUGUUUGUGUGUGCGUGUGACGUGUGUGUGUGUGUGUGUGUGUGAAGUACAAUUGAAGUUGAGCUACGGCGACCGUGUGUGCAUCAUAUUCUCCAACAUGCGUGGGCGGCGGGCAGCGGCGGCGGCGACGGCGGCGACGGCGGAGGCAGCAGGUGCGUCUCCUGAAACGCGGCGCCCCAGACGCUCUCUACUGCGGUGCAACGUCAGCACUUCCUGUCAUUACCCAGACUUCAGGAAGGGCGGAUGUGAUGGAGACAGAUGCCCGCUGAGGUGCUAUCGACGGGGCGAGCAGAGAGACAAUCUAGUUCUUAUUGCUGGGCUGGCGGGGGACACCUCUCUCCAAGGUCUCUGAAGUGCUCCGGCCUCCACCUCAUCCUGCUCCUCCCAUUGGGUCCCAGCAGCUCUCUGUUGUCCCCGCGGCUCGUCUCCACGGAAGCCGUCCAUCAAGGACCGGAACGACAGGCCUCAAGGUCCACCUGUCAAACCCAAAGAGAGUGACUGACAGGACGGUGAUCUGACCGGACGGUGCUCUGACCGGACGGUGCUCUGAGGGGACGGUGCUCUGAGGGACGUGCUCUGAGGGGACGGUGCUCUGAGGGGACGGUGCUCUGAGGGGACGGUGCUCUGAGGGGACGGUGCUCUGAGGGGACGGUGCUCUGACCGGACGGUGCCUUCACCCGGGCGCCUGGCUCAUGAAGCGCUGCAGGCAGGCGCCCAGGAGGAGGUCGUUAACCAGGCCUGGAGAGGAAGAGGAGGAGGAGGAGGAAGAGGAGGAGGAGGGGGAGGAGGAGGAGAAGGAGGAGGAGGAGCGGGAGGAGGAGGAGGAGGAGGGGGAGGGG